rnacentral:lncRNA from 1 species
AUAGAUAGAAUGUGGACAUGAUGAUUUGUAAAAUAAUGUAAAGUUAUGAGUAGUUAUGUAAUGUAAUGAUAUCGAGGAUUAGAGGUUGUGCUUGACCUAUGUGUAAGGUAUCCCUUUUAAUGCAUGAUCCUAAAUCUUUUAUGAUAUCUUUGUAGACCAACUCAACAUAUGAUGUUUUGCCUAUUGGGGCAUUGAGGAGAUCCCAUUGAGGGGUCAUGUUUAUGAUUAUGUUUAUGUUCAGUGCAUGC